CUCAUCUCGAACUCGUGGGGUCAAGCAAUUCGCCAGCCUUCAGCCUCCCAACGUGCUGGGAUUACAGGAAGCCGGUGGUCAUGCCAUGAGCAGCCUUAUGGAGAGGACCAUGUGUUGAAUUCCCUGGAUAGUCCAAGCUUUGUGGAUCCCUCCACCGGAACAACUGGAUCCCAGUACCUGAAUCCUGAAUCUUAGACUCUUAUACUUCAAACACUGAUCACGGGAACACCCGGCUCAGCGGCUCCUGAGUUCCUAAUGCUCAGAACAUGGGUGAGAUGAUAAAUGUUUGUUGUGUUAAGCUGCCAACCUUUGGCGGGGGGGGUAAUUCGUCACAUGGGAACAGCUGGCUAAUACAUAUAUACCUACGUGUAUAUGAUUUUGUCAGGUUUUUUUUU
rnacentral:lncRNA from 1 species